GGCCGCGGGAAUUCGAUUAGGCCUAACACAUGCAAGUCGAGCGAUUCUCUUCGGAGAAGAGCGGCGGACGGGUGAGUAACGCGUGGGUAACCUGCCCUGUACACACGGAUAACAUACCGAAAGGUAUGCUAAUACGAGAUAAUAUGCUUUUAUCGCAUGGUAGAAGUAUCAGAGCUCCGGCGGUACAGGAUGGACCCGCGUCUGAUUAGCUAGUUGGUGAGGUAACGGCUCACCAAGGCGACGAUCAGUAGCCGACCUGAGAGGGUGGUCGGCCACAUUGGAACUGAGACACGGUCCAAACUCCUACGGGAGGCAGCAGUGGGGAAUAUUUCAAAGGGGGCGAAAGCCUGAUGCAGCAACGCCG
rnacentral:rRNA from 1 species